UCUCGAUUAGUAUAGUGGUUAGUAUGCCAGCUUGUCACGCUGGAGACCGGGGUUCAAUUCCCCGAUCGAGAG
rnacentral:tRNA from 1 species